UACAAUUUAGACAGUUCCUGAGGUGG
rnacentral:piRNA from 1 species